rnacentral:rRNA from 1 species
CUUGAACGCUGGCGGCAGGCCUAACACAUGCAAGUCGCACGAGUGGCGGCCGGGUGAGUAAUGUCUGGGAAACUGCCUAAUGGAGGGGGAUAACUACUUGAAACGGUAGCUAAUACCGCAUAUCAUCGGAUGUGCCCAGAUGGGCUGAGCUAGUAGGUGGGGUAACGGCUCACCUAGGCGACGAUCCCUAGCUGGUCUGAGAGGAUGACCAGCCACACUGGAACUGAGUCACGGUCCAGCCUCCUACGGGAGGCAGCAGUGGGGAAUAGUGCACAAGGGGCGAAAGCCUGAUGCAGCCAUGCCGCGUGUAUGAAGAAGGCCUUCGGGUUGUAAAGGACUUUCAGCGGGGAGGCGUUACCCGCAGAAGAAGCACCGGCUAACUCCGUGCCAGCAGCCGCGGUAAUAC